AAAAGAAGAAAAAGAAGAGGGGAGAGAGAGAUGAGAGAAAAAAAGAGCGUCAGAAACACCUUUGUGAGAGAGCUCGCACCUGUGAAGAGCGAGAGCCACCAUCCUUGCAGGCAGAUACAUCAGACAGCCAGAGGCGAUCUACAGCACUGCUCUCAAGAAAACUCAUGCUGUUGAGUGCAAGAUCAAGAACUGCUGAAUUUUGACCUCUGUGCUGAUCUUCUGCUCUGCCCUAACCUGCAUUAAGAAAGCCAGAUCAGAUGAUGCCAGCUAGCCAAACUCAAUCCACCGGGUUGUUCGAAAAGGAAGGGAGAGGAGGUAUGUUAUACUUACUAUUCAGCCACAAAUGGUAAAAUGGCAGCAAUAUCAUUUGAAUGCAUCUGCCAUCAAGCCAGCUGUCAGUUCUUCACACAAGAGAGAGUUCCCAAAUUGAUGCUUAUAGAUUUUACACACAGACUGCACUCAGACAUUCCCAAAUUAUCUUUCCAGUCAGUUACAUGAUUAUUAUUUGGGUAACCAGCUUGGCGUAUGUUGGUCGCAUCACAAAGUCAAUUACAAACUUAGGAGUGGCCUAAAAUAAAGAGUUGCUUACCUUCCCUGGUGUGUCUGCUCUGCAAACUGAAGAUCUUUCAACUCAGGUGCUUUAAAGCCUCCACUGAAGAGAAAAUGGUCUGGUCGUUAUUGCUUUUUGGGUGUGGAUUUUUUUUUUUUCCUCUUGCAAUAAGGGCUCUCUUGCAUUUUUCCACCAGUCCACGCUAUUAGAUUUAUUACUCUUUUCGUACUGCCUCUCCCUUCUUUUCUUAUUGUCAUUGUCAUAUAUACCAGGAAUAAAGCACACUGGAACAUAGUUUAGAGGUAUUUUAAUACUUGCAGAUAAACAGUGUCACUGAGACUUUCACAGUACAAAAGUUGUCUCUCUGUGGUAUCUUGGGGUAGAUUAAUUUCUAGCACGAGGCUGAACAUAGCAGAUUGUGAAAGAAGGACUGUACUCUCAAGAAACUGGAGCAUACUUAACAGAACACUCCCAUGAUCUUUGGCAGGCGGUAGUCAUGCAGCCAGCACAGGCCUUAAUAUCCUGCAAAGAUGUGAGCAAAUUUCUGAGAAAAGGUACUUCCUAGAAACAUAGAUGCUUACUUGUAAUUUUGGAUGGUGCCUAUCCGUCUCUGUUGCAGGAUGCUUCAGGCUCUGUUAGAACCAUAUUUGAAGAAGGAAAACAGUGUUUUGUUCAGUACAGACGAGUUAGACCACGUGUCUUAAUAUUUCUACAUACAACAGAUCUUCCAAAUAACAAAUAUUUUUUCAUCAAUCACCAGUAAGGGGAGAUUUCUGUUCUGUCUUCAGGUAUAUCUGCUUGCUAAUAGUUACUGUGCUGCCUGGGAUCUAAGGGGUUUGUUUCCCUCUGUAGGCUGUCCCUCCACAGAAUUUGGGUCAGUUACAGAAUAUCAUUAUUAAAUUUAAAAGCUUUGUAUUUCAAGUUAUUACCUAGAGCAGCAUUUUUUCAGGUAAUGUUCUUUCCUGUCAUCUACUUUACUUUAGGAACAGCACUUCUCCUAACCUCAAGGGUAAGUCUCAUGACAGUAGAAGAUAAAGUUUUCUUGGCAAUAGAGAAGACUUUUGAACCCCUUGCUGAAACAGAUAAGAAUGAUCACAACUUUCACAUCCCUCAGGGUAAAAUACAACAUGUUAUUUUAGCCAUGCUAUCCUCACCAUGUACACAACUUUAAGCAGCAGUGAGGAAAAGAAAAAAGCAGUAGAGGUCAGGAUGAAGAAUGAAAAGACGAAAUAAGUUAGAUAAACCCCUGCCUAGGCAAAGGAAAGAGCAAAUUUAGACUGGCAACCCAAAGUAAUAUUACUUACUAAUUUUUUGAGAAAAGAUCCUAUAAUAUGGGAAAGAGCAGCAGAGAUUGACAGAUGAGAUACUGUUGCUACACUGCGACCCCUGCAGUCACAGGACCUGUAUCUGAGGUUUCUCAUCUGUAAAAUGAGAAUUGUUGUUACUUACAAUUCAGGUUCUCAAAAGCAGUAAUUGAUGCUUAUUGUUAAGGCUCUUUGAGAUCACCAAUUGGAAAUACAGAAUGACCUGCUUCUUCUGGGCUGUCUUUUACUUCUCGUUAUAUUCUAGCCAAAUUAAUUUAAUAGACAAGAGUUGUAAAUUCACAGUUUCUUAGAAAUUGAUCAACUUUACAAAAGAGAAGGAAGAGUUGUAAUGAAGCCAAUUUAGUUUGAAAGCAGAGAAUGCUGAUGCGCUCUCCUGGCUGUUUGCUCUGUGCCUGUUCCCUCCACCCCCCACACAUACAUUCCCAUCAAACACUGCCAGGCCUCAAAGACUGCUCAGACUCCUUGUGGAAUUGUUCUCUGAAAAUAAAAUUGACAUAUUCUUUUGAAGGCAAGAGACCAUUUCUUUACAAGAGCUGAAAAUAAGGUGCCAAUUUUGUCUUUUCCAUCCAUACCAUGGAAAUCUUUAGCUCUGUGAAAGGGGGCUGUUCACUGGCUGCUGUCCUAGGGAAGGUCAAACUGUGGCAUUCCUUCUAGAGAACAUACAAGAGAGAAGUGGAGGGGCCUCACUUCUGUAAGGUUAGGUGGUGCAAACAAAACUGUAUCUUCCUUUCCACAGUUAGGCAGGAUGGGAUUUGCACCAGUAUUAUGUUCUUCCAAACUGUGUGGUGGGCAUGGGUAGUUAUGGAGACUGUUGCCCUUUACAUCUUCAGCAUCACCCACCUCAGCAUUUCUGUUAGCAAAGAAAGUACCAGAGCCAAUACGGCAGUCUGGCCUUCACUGAGCCAGUUUCAAGAAAGGAUUAAAAUCAUCCAGUUGCGUUUCUAGGCUUUAAAUUAACUUUAAACCCUCAAUAAAUUACUAAAUAAAACUGAAGACCUUUUCAUCCUCAAACUAGAUUAAUUUUAAUCUUUAAAAUUAUUCCCAUUUUUAUAACAUUUCCAAACCCAUUAUCAUGUCAUUGGCUACAGACAGUUACUCAUUAUUAGUUAUUAGCUGUCAUAGCUCUGUAACUUCUCUCACUGUGACCUCUUUUCCUGGAGCAUGAGCCUUCUUUUACUGAAGUUUAUUUUCAAAUAUCACUCAAAUAUCUGUGCUGAAUGACUUCUGAUCCUUGUAGUUUGCAGCAUGGAACAUUCUUUUUUUGCUCCUUCUGUUCCAUGCUGAUGAGUAUAAAUGACAUCUAGAACUUCUGAUCGCUGCUAUCUCUUGUGCUAUCUGAAAUACAUAUAGAUAUGUUUUUCCUCUUGCAGGUUCCAUGGUUUGCAUUAUUCAUUUGCAUUAAGACGAAUGAAUCUGUGCUUACAAGUAAUUUGAGAAAAUGUCUUCCAGAGGGGGCUAGUUGUUCAGUUAAGCUAUUCACCCCAACAAGCCUGAUAUUAAUUACUUUCUGUAUUCUCAUCCAUUCUCCUGUUCUCUUUCAUUUCUCACUCUCGUCUGAUUUCAUCUCUCAUCUUUCCCACUCCUUGCAAUUACCUGUUUCAAUCCCCACAACAUCUCAUUUAGUAGGUUAACCACUCUUCUCACUGUGUUACUUGACUUUCCACUCUAGAUCUUCUCUUCCCAUUCUUGAAAGCCCACCUGUCCAUCCUUGUCACCUCUCAUCCUAGGGAAACAACUGUUUCCUAUUAGUGCUUCCUUCAUCCUUUUCAACCUGGUUUCUUGAGAAAACAAAAUUUCAGUAAUUAUGCAGUAUGAAUGCAGAGAUUUAUUCUUUACGUUAAACAACCUCUGGCAAACUUGAAAGAGGAGUGGAGGGAUUUAAAGUGUCUUGUUUUUUAGGAAGGUGACCACAGAGAAGAAAAAGGGAUUCCAUAGCCUCUGUAAAAGAAAGAAUGAAGGUAGAGCUUAUUCUUACUAGAAAACGUAAAAUUCAAAAAGACGACUGUAGGAUUCUCAUUGUAUCAGAUAUUACGUUAUUAGAGCCUUCAGAGCCUCAGUAAGAACAUACUGUUAGAGCUUCAAUCUAGGUUUCUCUCCUCUAUAGAUUCUCCAGAUGUAAAUUCUGAUUCAGCUUUUUCCAUAGUUGCAGCUGUGAACAUUUUUAUCUCCUGUGUGUAUUCUUUGCUUUCCAAUAACAGGUAAACUCAUGUGCAAUAAUAAAGUGAUCAAUCACAAAGUACAACACCGACAGAAAAGAAGACCAUGUGGAAUCUGAUAUUCACAACAUUACUGUUUUAUGGUCCUUUUUUCAUAAUCUACAUCUGUGCAUUUUCUGUUUAGACAACAAAUAUUUGUGAUAGGAAUCACCUCUGAUUUUUUGACUACUAUAUCUUAUUGGAAUAGGAAGCAGUGGUCAUAGUCAAAAUUUUCUUGUAAUUUUUAAACAUUUCUAUGUGGUAAGUAUGUUUCAAGAAAAGUAAAAAAAAACCCACUUGCUUUUAGUUGCAAUGCCUUUUACCUUUGGUAAACUGAAGUUUCCUUAUCAUAUCCUUGCAAUGUUUCAAUUUUAACUUGAUACUAUGGAAUUUUUAAUACAAACUUUUAGGAAAAAUACAGAAAUUUGAAAUGAAAACAGAAAAUAGGUUAUUUGAAAAGAAAAAAUCUACAGUAAAGUAGUUGUGCAGCACAUAAGUGUAAGAAUUGGCUAUGGUCUACGGGAGCAUGGACUUGUCUUGUCCUGCAGGAGUGGCAGAGAAUUAUUCCUGACCAGGUGGAUUGUUGUGGCUAUGGUGAUGCGUUUUUUUUGUUUUGUUC